rnacentral:rRNA from 1 species
UACAGAGGUCUCAAGCGUUGUUCGGAUUCAUUGGGCGUAAAGCGCGUGUAGGCGGCUCGGUAAGUCUGCUGUGAAAGCCCAGGGCUCAACCCUGGGAUGCCGGUGGAUACUGUCGAGCUCGAGUCCGGAAGAGGCGAGUGGAAUUCCUGGUGUAGCGGUGAAAUGCGCAGAUAUCAGGAGGAACACCGAUGGCGAAGGCAGCACGCUGGGACGCAACUGACGCUGAGGCGCGAAAGCGUGGGGAGCAAACAGG